rnacentral:rRNA from 1 species
AUUGAACGCUGGCGGCAUGCCUUACACAUGCAAGUCGAACGGUAACAGGUCUUCGGAUGCUGACGAGUGGCGAACGGGUGAGUAAUACAUCGGAACGUGCCCGAUCGUGGGGGAUAACGGAGCGAAAGCUUUGCUAAUACCGCAUACGAUCUACGGAUGAAAGCAGGGGACCGCAAGGCCUUGCGCGGACGGAGCGGCCGAUGGCAGAUUAGGUAGUUGGUGGGAUAAAAGCUUACCAAGCCGACGAUCUGUAGCUGGUCUGAGAGGACGACCAGCCACACUGGGACUGAGACACGGCCCAGACUCCUACGGGAGGCAGCAGUGGGGAAUUUUGGACAAUGGGGGCAACCCUGAUCCAGCCAUGCCGCGUGAGUGAAGAAGGCCUUCGGGUUGUAAAGCUCUUUCGGCCGGGAAAAAAUCGCAUCAGUUAAUACCUGGUGUGGAUGAUGGUACCGGAAUAAGAAGCACCGGCUAACUACGUG